rnacentral:rRNA from 1 species
GACGAACGCUGGCGGCGUGCUUAACACAUGCAAGUCGAACGGGCCUGUCUUCUUUUUUGGGGGGUGGGUUGAGUGGCGAACGGGUGAGUAUCACGUGAGUAACCUGCCCUUCGGUCCUGGAUAACCGCUUGAAAGGGCGGCUAAUACGGGGUGGUCCGGUUGGUCCGCAUGGGCUGGUCGGGAUAGAUUCACUGUUUUUGGUGUUUCGGCGGGGGAUGGGCUCGCGGCCUAUCAGCUUGUUGGUGGGGUGAUGGCCUACCAAGGCGGUGACGGGUAGCCGGCCUGAGAGGGUGGGCGGCCACACUGGGACUGAGAUACGGCCCAGACUCCUGCGGGAGGCAGCAGUGGGGGGUAUUGCACAAUGGGCGGAAGCCUGAUGCAGCGACGUCGCGUGAGGGAGGGAGGCCUUCGGGUUGUGAACCUCUGUUUCCGGUGGUGAAGGCCCUGUCCGUGUGGUGGGGUUGACGGUAGCCGGGGAGGAAGCGCCGGCUAACUACGUG